AAUCAACGCUGGCGGCGUGCCUCAGACAUGCAAGUCGAACGCGAAAGUUUCCUUCGGGGAACAAGUAGAGUGGCGCACGGGUGAGUAACACGUAGGUAAUCUACCUUUGGAUGGGGAAUAACAACCGGAAACGGUUCCUAAUACCGCAUAAUGCAGCGGCACCUAAUGGUGACAGUUGUUAAAGCGGGGGAUCGAAAGACCUCGCGUCUGAAGAGGAGCCUGCGGCGGAUUAGCUAGNGGUAAGGUAAUGGCUUACCAAGGCGACGAUCCGUAACCGGCCUGAGAGGGCGGUCGGUCACACUGACACUGACAUACGGGUCAGACUCCUACGGGAGGCAGCAGUCGGGAAUUUUGGCAAUGGGCGAAAGCCUGACCCAGCAACGCCGCGUGAAGGAUGAAAUCCCUCGGGAUGUAAACUUCGCAAGAACGGGAAGAAUAAGCGAGAGUUAAUAUCUUUCGUGAUGACGGUACGUUUG
rnacentral:rRNA from 1 species